UUAUCUCUCUCUCUCUCUCUCUCUCUAUAUAUAUAUAUAUAUAUAUAUAUAUAUAUAUAUAGAGAGAGAGAGAGAGAAUAUAUAUAUAUAUAUAUAUAUAUAUAUAUAUAUAUAGAGAGAGAGAGAGAGAGAGAGAGAG
rnacentral:miRNA from 1 species